GUAUGUCCUGCUUGAAGCCUAAAGACACAAGAUCCCAUCUGAUCUUGGGAGUUAGGCAAGGUCAGCCCUGAUUAGUACUUGGAUGAGAGACCACCAUGGAAUACCAGAUACCAUAGGCU
rnacentral:rRNA from 11 species